rnacentral:misc_RNA from 1 species
UUGGUGACUAUCUUCUGAUUCAGCUUCUUCAUGUGCUUCUGUUAAAGUGCUUGCUAGACUUGUUGAAUCAGCAUUUGCUGAAGUUAGUUUCUUGUGUCUCGUAGAAAAACUAUCGGAUAAUGAGCAGUCAUUCAGAUAGUUUGGGUGCACUGAUUUGGUGCUUCUGAUGCUACUGACAUUCACCUUGUUACCCUUGACUUCCAAAUAGUGGACAAAAACUAUGUGCAUGAGAUCCUGUUCAAGCAUCCAAUAACUACGCCUUUGAAAAUUAUCAUCUUCUUCUCCAUGGGCAUAGUAGCAG